GUAGGUGGCAAGCGUUGUCCGGAACUAUUGGGCGUAAAGCGCGCGCAGGCGGUUCUUUAAGUCUGAUGUGAAAGCCCACGGCUCAACCGUGGAGGGUCAUUGGAAACUGGAGAACUUGAGUACAGAAGAGGAAAGCGGAAUUCCACGUGUAGCGGUGAAAUGCGUAGAGAUGUGGAGGAACACCAGUGGCGAAGGCGGCUUUCUGGUCUGUAACUGACGCUGAGGCGCGAAAGCGUGGGGAGCAAACAGGGAUUAGAUACCCUGGUAGUCCACGCCGUAAACGAUGAGUGCUAAGUGUUAGGGGGGUUUCCGCCCCCUUAGUGCUGCAGCUAACGCAUUAAGCACUCCGCCUGGGGAGUACGGCCGCAAGGCUG
rnacentral:rRNA from 1 species